rnacentral:lncRNA from 1 species
GAGCCGCAGUGGGGCACUUCUACCUCGAGACUGUUUCCGCGCUCGGGCCGGGAGGCCGAGUGACGGCGGGCGAGCGGAAUGAGCGCGGCGCGGACGCUGCGGGUGCCCGGCCGCCACGGCUAUGCGGCCGAGUUCUCUCCGUACCUGCCGGGCCGCCUGGCCUGUGCCGCGGCGCAGCACUACGGCAUCGCGGGUGAGCGCGGGCCGCGCCUCCGGGGCGGGCGUAGGACGCGCCGCUGAGCGCGCGGUGCCGCCGCCACCGCCAGGGGGCGACAGAGCUCGGCCCUCCCUCCUAGGUCCCCCUUUCUGCGGAGUUGGCAUUGGAGCCCAGGGGAAGUCUACAGCUAGUCCUUUCCCUUCUGUAAGAAGGAUGCACUUGUCAGUACUUGCAAGGUGGAGUCAACAGAGCCACCAGUUCAAAGCCAUCCUCAACAGAGACUUAGGGAGACGCUGGCCCUUUCUUGAAAAAGAAAAAAAAAAAAACUAGAAAAUUCUGUGCUCGCUUUUAGUUGUUCUAGGGGAAGUGGAUAAAUGUGCAGAGAUGUCUAAGUGCUCAAGCCAUUUAUUUUAACUUAUACCCCAUCUGCUGUUUAUGCACAGGAGCAGUGUAUGGCAAACCAUUGCAUAAUGUCAGUGAUCUGUAAUACUUGUUUACUGCAGGAAAAAAAUACGAUUUCUGAAAAGUAGUGGUAAAUAAACUUGUUUCCGUAUAGUUUGUCCAUUAGUGCUUAGUGCUUUCACGGUUGGGUUCACAGUUCUUGGCCAUCAAACUUUAGACUUUUAUAAAGGUUUCUUACAAGAAAUUGGUAUAAUUAGGAAUUGUUUUCUAGAGAUUUUUUGUGUGUGUGUCUGAGUUUUUUGCUUGUAUGUAUGUCUGUGAACCAUGCCUGGUGCCAGCUAAGGUCAGAAGAGAAGAUUCAAAGAGGGUGUUGGAUCCAUUACUGAUGGUUGUCAGCUGCCAAGUGGGUACUGGGAUUAGAAGCUGGCUCUGCACAUGGAAGGGGUCGGGUCUCUGACCUGACAGUUGACUUUUUUUUUUCUUCUUCAUCAGUUACGUUUAAGUGGAAGAUCUUUAACACUUUACCCACCUCACUGAUCACAAAAACUCAAAGCGAAAUUCUGUGAAGACUCUAGUUUGAACAGUUGAAUGUGCAUGUGAGCAUAGUAAUUAGUCAUCUUACCUUGUAAAGUUCAAGUGCAGAUUCCCUUUGAACAGAUGUUAAUGGAGUGUGAGAUGGGGGAGAGAAAGAGACAUUAGUCUUUCAGCAAAAAUUAUUGAUUGUUGGCACAUAACUGAAGUUAAUGUUGUUUUCAACACCUGACCAACGAGUAUAUGGUAUUUCCACAUAUACUGUCUUAAAAUGCUGUGAUUGGUGUGUUCUGCGUGUAUCAGCAGGGGAGAACCACAGUCUUGGGGGUUUGUAAGCACAAGCCUUCCUUGUCUUCUGUUAUUAGCUCCAGCUUGAAAGGUUUGCGUGCCUAGCACCAGGCCCGGUGUGAGUUGGCACUCUGAUGCGUUUCCCCAGACUGGUGUUCCGAUUCCAGUCUGGCCAGAUGGUAAGUUGGAUAUUUAAGGACUGAAGCAUACUAUGUAACUUUUAAUUGUUCUGUAUAUACGGUUGCAGUUAUUUUAUGGGAAAUUUGUGGUAGUUAAAGCUGGUCCACAAUGUUUAAGAUUUCAUCAUAGAUGACUCCCAGGAGGUUAAACAACAUGACUUAGGGCUUUGUUUUGUUUUGUAUUUCUUCUAGGCUGUGGAACUCUAUUAGUAUUGGAUCAAAAUGAAUCUGGACUUCAGAUUUUUAGAAGGUAAAGUGAUUGACAUUUCUGGUGCUGUGAUAAGGCAUCAAGAUUAAGGCAACUUACAAAAGAAAGUAGUUACUUUAGGCUUAUAAUCUUAGUGGGUCAGGGUCAGAGUCUAUAAUGGUGGAGCAAAGUCAUGGCUACAGGAACAGCUGAGAGCUCACAUCUUGAGCCACAGAUGGGAGGCAGAGAGAUCCACUCUGGGAAUGGGGCAAGUCUUUUGAAGUCCCAGAGCCUGGCCCCAGUGGCACACUUCUUCCAGCAAUACCACAUCUCCUAAAUCCUUCCCAAAUACUUGUAUCACCUAGGGACUGAGUAUUCAAACCUAAGAGCCUGUGGUGGCCAUUCUCCUCAAACCAUUAUAAUGGCUCUAAUUAUUAAGUGUACAUAUACAGUCAACCUCUGUCAAAGUCUUAAUGCAGUUGCAUUUUGAAUAUUUGGAACUAAUAGGUUUUUAAUUUAUGAUGUAAAAUAAACUUUUACAUUGGCAUCAUAUAGAAAUUAUUUUUGCUAACUAUGAUUAUGCCAUGUUCUCAAGCUUACUAGUGUCUGCUUAUAAAUUAUACAUUUAAAACGUAAAACAGUGAGCGUCUUAGUAAUUUAGUUUCCUUAAGCAAGAGCUAGCGCUCAUCCUGUGGACUGCCCAGUGUUUCUCUCUGGACCUGUCUUCCAGGUUGAGUGAUGGACACACGCUACUUCUAUCAGGAUUAGUCAAAGGCAGAGGAAAGAGAUUCUGUAGAAAGCCACUACCUGCUCGUAGCUCAGAUGAAGAAAGAUUUGUGGGAGUAUUUGAAAUGAUUGGUCUCCGUAUUUUGAAAGUCUCACAAGUGCAUGCUGUGAGUCACAGGUGCACUACAAUAAAAGCAGGUGAUGUCAGCAUGUCUUUGGUGGAUACCUCAUAUGAGUGUUUGGAAACCUCCUUUCAGUUUAACUUUGGAGCUAUCUACCUGCCCUUCCUGGGCUGUGCUUCCAGGCCACUGUGGAGUACCUGCUCUAUUUAUCUCUUGUAGUUUUCAAGAUCAUCUGAGGUAAUGUGUGUUACAAUAUGUGAAAAACAAGGAAAAAAACAGUAACUAUAAAAUUAAGAUGUUAAUCAUUUUGUGAUCUGCAGUGCAUGUAUUUUCUUUUCUGGCGUAGCUUUGACUGGAAUGACGGCUUGUUUGACGUUACCUGGAGUGAAAACAAUGAGCAUGUCCUUGUCACCUGUAGUGGUGAUGGCUCACUGCAGCUCUGGGACACUGCCAAAGCCACAGGCCCUCUCCAAGUCUAUAAAGAGCACACGCAGGAGGUAUGAUGAUGGCUUCCCUUAUUGUUUGUUUGAAAUCUCUUUGGGAUGAACACAGGGAAAUGCUUUCAGGGGACAAGGUUAAGCUUUAAUGUUUCUUAUUCAUAGUAGAUGUCACUUAUUAUUCUGUUAUUCAAACAUAAAGUACUUCUUAGCCUAAGACAAGACAAGAAAAGGUCAGGCUUCUCAUUAGGCAACAGCAGUGCCUCUAGCAGGCACGGUGGCAUCCUUCCCUCCAGAGGGCCUCAGCCUUCCUUAUGCCCUAUGAACACGCCUACACGCAGUGCCUCAGGAGAGGGUGGGCGGGCUGUUCGCAGGCUCUCUCACGAUUGUCUGCAGGCUUCAGUAAGACUCAAUGUAUUCCAACAGCGGCAUCAAGUACCAACUAGGAGGCUGAGUUCACUAAAAGAAAAUAAAGAUUUAGUGUUUGUAAAUUUGUAUGUGUGACUGUGUGUGCGCACACGUGCACAAGAGUGAGUUCAGACACUCAUGCAAGCUGGAAUUACUGGGUUUCCCCAGAGAACUAGUUACAGGCGUUUGCGAGCUGCCUGGUGUGGGUGUUGGGAACUGCUCAGGUGUUCUGCAAGAGCAGUAUGCAUGCCUAACUGCUGAGCCAUCACUCCAGCCCCCUAAAGCAAAUUUAAACGUAAAUCUAAAUAUGACUUUUGUGUCAUCUGGACUCUGUGUGUGUGUGUGUGUGUGUGUGUGUGUGUGUGUAAUAUGAGGCGCAGGAACUAGUUUAUACUUUGGAAAUACCAAAAUGCAUGCAUAUGUUUUAAGGAAUGUGAUGAAGACAUUCUUUCUUGGUUUUAUACCUUAGCAAUAGAGCCUUCAGUGACGACUUACAGAUUGCUUUCUAGCUUUUACCUACCUUUAUGCCUGCCUCAUCUCAGGCCUUUAACAAGUGUUCAUUACAUGGAAGGUCAUUAUUGUUUUGUUUAAAAAAAAACUGAGUGAUGUGAGUAUCCUAGAUAACAUUGUAUAGUUAUAACUAUUUUAAAAAACUCAAUAGUUCUAUAAUUAGUUCU